rnacentral:rRNA from 1 species
CGGGUGAGUAAUGCGUGACCAACCUGCCCCAUGCUCCAGAAUAGCUCUUGGAAACGGGUGGUAAUGCUGGAUGCUCCAACUUGACGCAUGUCUUGUUGGGAAAGUGUUUAGUGGCAUGGGAUGGGGUCGCGUCCUAUCAGCUUGUAGGCGGGGUAAUGGCCCACCUAGGCUUCGACGGGUAGCCGGCCUGAGAGGGCGGACGGCCACAUUGGGACUGAGAUACGGCCCAGACUCCACGGGAGGCAGCAGUG